rnacentral:rRNA from 1 species
GGGUUGUGAGGUUAAGCGACUAAGCGUACACGGUGGAUGCCCUGGCAGUCAGAGGCGAUGAAGGGCGUGCUAAUCUGCGAUAAGCGCCGGUAAGGUGAUAUGAACCGUUAUAACCGGCGAUACCCGAAUGGGGAAACCCAGUGUGACUCGUCACACUAUCAUUAACUGAAUCCAUAGGUUAAUGAGGCGAACCGGGGGAACUGAAACAUCUAAGUACCCCGAGGAAAAGAAAUCAACCGAGAUUCCCCCAGUAGCGGCGAGCGAACGGGGAGGAGCCCAGAGCCUGAAUCAGCAUGUGUGUUAGUGGAAGCGUCUGGAAAGGCGCGCGAUACAGGGUGACAGCCCCGUACACAAAAGCGCAUGUGCUGUGAGCUCGAUGAGUAGGGCGGGACACGUGGUAUCCUGUCUGAAUAUGGGGGGACCAUCCUCCAAGGCUAAAUACUCCUGACUGACCGAUAGUGAACCAGUACCGUGAGGGAAAGGCGAAAAGAACCCCGGCGAGGGGAGUGAAAAAGAACCUGAAACCGUGUACGUACAAGCAGUGGGAGCCCCACCACUAAGCCAGUGGUGAACUCCACAUACGCAUCCUUUGCUGAGGAUACGGUUAACGGAGCGCAAGCGACGUUCAACCGCAAAAGAAGCAGAGGGGGCUUAGUGGUGGGGUGACUGCGUACCUUUUGUAUAAUGGGUCAGCGACUUAUAUUCUGUAGCAAGGUUAACCGUAUAGGGGAGCC